rnacentral:rRNA from 1 species
CUCAGAUUGAACGCUGGCGGCAGGCCUAACACAUGCAAGUCGAGCGGAAACGAGUUAUCUGAACCUUCGGGGAACGAUAACGGCGUCGAGCGGCGGACGGGUGAGUAAUGCCUAGGAAAUUGCCCUGAUGUGGGGGAUAACCAUUGGAAACGAUGGCUAAUACCGCAUGAUGCCUACGGGCCAAAGAGGGGGACCUUCGGGCCUCUCGCGUCAGGAUAUGCCUAGGUGGGAUUAGCUAGUUGGUGAGGUAAGGGCUCACCAAGGCGACGAUCCCUAGCUGGUCUGAGAGGAUGAUCAGCCACACUGGAACUGAGACACGGUCCAGACUCCUACGGGAGGCAGCAGUGGGGAAUAUUGCACAAUGGGCGCAAGCCUGAUGCAGCCAUGCCGCGUGUGUGAAGAAGGCCUUCGGGUUGUAAAGCACUUUCAGUCGUGAGGAAGGUGGUGUAGUUAAUAGCUGCAUUAUUUGACGUUAGCGACAGAAGAAGCACCGGCUAACUCCGUGCCAGCAGCCGCGGUAAUACGGAGGGUGCGAGCGUUAAUCGGAAUUACUGGGCGUAAAGCGCAUGCAGGUGGUUUGUUAAGUCAGAUGUGAAAGCCCGGGGCUCAACCUCGGAAUAGCAUUUGAAACUGGCAGACUAGAGUACUGUAGAGGGGGGUAGAAUUUCAGGUGUAGCGGUGAAAUGCGUAGAGAUCUGAAGGAAUACCGGUGGCGAAGGCGGCCCCCUGGACAGAUACUGACACUCAGAUGCGAAAGCGUGGGGAGCAAACAGGAUUAGAUACCCUGGUAGUCCACGCCGUAAACGAUGUCUACUUGGAGGUUGUGGCCUUGAGCCGUGGCUUUCGGAGCUAACGCGUUAAGUAGACCGCCUGGGGAGUACGGUCGCAAGAUUAAAACUCAAAUGAAUUGACGGGGGCCCGCACAAGCGGUGGAGCAUGUGGUUUAAUUCGAUGCAACGCGAAGAACCUUACCUACUCUUGACAUCCAGAGAACUUUCCAGAGAUGGAUUGGUGCCUUCGGGAACUCUGAGACAGGUGCUGCAUGGCUGUCGUCAGCUCGUGUUGUGAAAUGUUGGGUUAAGUCCCGCAACGAGCGCAACCCUUAUCCUUGUUUGCCAGCGAGUAAUGUCGGGAACUCCAGGGAGACUGCCGGUGAUAAACCGGAGGAAGGUGGGGACGACGUCAAGUCAUCAUGGCCCUUACGAGUAGGGCUACACACGUGCUACAAUGGCGCAUACAGAGGGCGGCCAACUUGCGAAAGUGAGCGAAUCCCAAAAAGUGCGUCGUAGUCCGGAUUGGAGUCUGCAACUCGACUCCAUGAAGUCGGAAUCGCUAGUAAUCGUGGAUCAGAAUGCCACGGUGAAUACGUUCCCGGGCCUUGUACACACCGCCCGUCACACCAUGGGAGUGGGCUGCAAAAGAAGUAGGUAGUUUAACCUUCGGGGGGACGCUUACCACUUUGUGGUUCAUGACUGGGGUGA